rnacentral:rRNA from 1 species
UUGCCAGCGAGUCAAGUCGGGAACGUCUAGCAAGACUGCCAGUGCAAACUGUGAGGAAGGUGGGGAUGACGUCAAAUCAUCACGGCCCUUACGCCUUGGGCUACACACGUGCUACAAUGGACGGUACAGAGAGCAGCCACUACGCAAGUAGGCGCGAAUCUUCAAAGCCGUUCUCAGUUCGGAUCGGAGUCUGCAACUCGACUCCGUGAAGCUGGAUUCGCUAGUAAUCGCAGAUCAGCCAUGCUGCGGUGAAUACGUUCCCGGGCCUU